rnacentral:rRNA from 1 species
UGCGUAGGCGGUUUAGUAAGUCAGUGGUGAAAGCCCAUCGCUCAACGGUGGAACGGCCAUUGAUACUGCUAGACUUGAAUUAUUAGGAAGUAACUAGAAUAUGUAGUGUAGCGGUGAAAUGCUUAGAUAUUACAUGGAAUACCAAUUGCGAAGGCAGGUUACUACUUAUGGAUUGACGCUGAUGGACGAAAGCGUGGGGAGCAAACAGGAUUAGAUACCCUCGUA